GCACUCAUAGCUCAGUUGGUUAGAGCACCCGUUUAGUAAGCGGGAGGUCCCGAGUUCGACUCUCGGUGCGUGCA